CCUACGGGUGGCAGCAGUGGGGCAUAUUUGGCAAUGGGCGCAAGCCUGACCCAGCAACGCCGCGUGAAGGAAGAAGGCUUUCGGGUUGUAAACUUCUUUUCUGAGGGACGAAGAAAGUGACGGUACCUCAGGAAUAAGCCACGGCUAACUACGUGCCAGCAGCCGCGGGAAUACGUAGGUGGCAAGCGUUAUCCGGAUUUAUUGGGUGUAAAGGGGGUGUAGGCGGGAAAGCAAGUCAGAUGUGAAAAGUCAGGGCUCAACCCUGAGCCUGCAUUUGAAACUGGUUUUCUUGAGUGCUGGAGAGGCAAUCGGAAUUCCGGGUGUAGCGGUGAAAUGCGUAGAUAUACGGAGGAACACCAGUGGCGAAGGCGGAUUGCUGGACAGUAACUGACGCUGAGGCGCGAAAGCGUGGGGAGCAAACAGGAUUAGAUACCCGUGUAGUC
rnacentral:rRNA from 1 species